rnacentral:lncRNA from 1 species
AUGAUGAACACAAAGAGAAAGAGGAGAGCCACCCAAUACAUGUUCUCCAGGCUUUUUAGGAAACAUGGCAUUGCUCCUUUGGCCACAUACAUGCAAAUCUAUCAGAAAAGUUAAGUCAUAAACAUCAAGGAGAUGGGCACUUGUUGAAAAAGGAACACGGCACAAGUGUUACCAUGCCAUAACUGGAAGUCUACGAUGUUCUCAGGAUGUUGUUGACAUUGCUAUAAACCAAUACUUUAAGGACAAGAUUCUUAUCAAGAGAAUCAGUGUGUGUACUGAGCACAUUACAUCAUUACAUACUCUAAGAGCUGAGAUAGCUUCCUGAAACGCAAGAAGGAAAAUGAUCAGAAAAAGAAGGGAGCCAAAGAGAAAGGUACCUGGAUUCAACUGAAGCGCCAGCCUGUUCCACCCAGAGAAGCACACUUUGUGAGAAAAACUGGAAAGGAACCUGAGCUGCUGUAACCUAUUCCCUAUGAAUUCAUGGCAUA